rnacentral:lncRNA from 1 species
UUGAAAGUUGUGUUUUCAUUAGCAUAAAGAACCUUUAUAUAGGCCACGACUUCUUGAACAUAAGAAGGAAAACAAGGAAAAACACCAAAACUAUUAUAACUCUAACACAUAAAGAAAAACACCAAAACGCAUUAACCGUAUCAUUACUCCCUUCCUUGACUUCGAGCUUAAGGGUAUGCUUCUUGUAGCUUCUUUGCGUUCUUCCACAUAUUUCACCAUUUCUUCUUCUUUAAAUCACUACAAGAAAUAUCUACAUUAUUAGCAAGAGGUAAGAGCUAUUAUAUGUCAUUAAUAGCGUUUGCAUAAACGCUGUCUUAUGCCCCUGUUAUGGUAGACCCCCUACAUACGAUAGCGUUUUUUUGGUAUAUUAUUAUAGAGCAUUCUACCAUAGUAUUAGGCAAACACUUUGAUAUAACGACUUAUAAUAGCGAUAUAUAUAAGCUAUGAUCUAUAAUUUUUAUGAUGC